rnacentral:rRNA from 1 species
CCUACGGGAGGCUGCAGUGGGGAAUAUUGGGCAAUGGGCGCAAGCCUGACCCAGCAACGCCGCGUGAAGGAAGAAGGCUUUCGGGUUGUAAACUUCUUUUAUGAGGGACGAAAGAAAUGACGGUACCUCAUGAAUAAGCCACGGCUAACUACGUGCCAGCAGCCGCGGUAAUACGUAGGUGGCAAGCGUUAUCCGGAUUUACUGGGUGUAAAGGGCGUGUAGGCGGGACUGCAAGUCAGAGGUGAAAAUUAUGGGCUCAACCCAUAACCUGCAGUUGAAACUGUAGUUCUUGAGUGAGGGAGAGGCAGGCGGAAUGCGUGGUGUAGCGGUGAAAUGCAUAGAUAUAAGGAAGAACACCAGUGGCGAAGGCGGCCUGCUGGACAGUAACUGACGCUGAGGCGCGAAAGCGUGGGGAGCAAACAGGAUUAGAUACCCCUGUAGUC